AAGUGAUGUGAUCUAGUUCUCUUUUAUGUUAUGGAGAUGUUCCAAGACUCUUAAGAAGAUAAUGAUUUUCCUUUGCAAAAACCAUGCUGUUAGAUUUUAUCAGGUUAUGGCAAUCUUAGUGAUCUUGGUGUUCUGUUUUUAAUUAUUUAUGCAACAAAUUUGCCAGGAAGGCUAAGCAGAGGUAUUGGUACUUCUCAAUUUGUUAGAAUAGUAUUUGAGGAGAAGUGCUGAUUAUUUUAUUUUUUUCUUAGCCACUUUGCUAUGGCUUACUUGCCUGUUAGAAGUAGUAGUUAAAUAUUUCACUCAUAUGUUCAACAUAUUAUUCUGUGGUGCAUCUUUUUUUGUUUUGAAAAUGAAUUCCUAAGGUUUACUUUGAAGUUUAUCAUCAUCAAGAUAGCAAAGACACUUAUUUCUUCUUUAAAGACUUACCACUUCUAGUACAGCUAGGAGGUUGCAGUUCAUUAUUUUACCUUAACAGAUUCUCCCUUUGAGUAACAUUUUGGCCCUCCUGGUUUUCGUCAUACAUGCUGUUGACAUUUAUAUCUCUCUCAAUAGACUUAACUUUAAGAUGACAUUUUAAAAACAUGUGUGUGCCUAUUGAACCCAACAGUUUCUCAACGUUUUUAAUUUGACCAGUUUGACUUAUGACUUUUUUCUGCUGACCAUCCUGGUGCACUCUUUAUUUACUUGUCUGCAUAUCUUUUGGCUUCUUCUGUUGUUUGUGUCCACAACUUUUGAAUUCAAAGUCUUUUUGAUGAACAAGUGAAAAUUGUGGUAAGGAGAAAUAGCCUAGUAUGUUUAUUGGAAGGCAACAGAGAGAACUGCUGAAGAACUUUGUGGAUAUAUGGAAAAAAAACAUGGUUUUAUGGAAUGGCACUUAUUCUCACAUUGUUUGUUUGUCAGGAAAGUAGUUGCCCAGAUGAACCAAAGCAUUUUUGAAAACUUUGCACUUUCUGAUUCAAUUGAAAAUGUUGUUAGUAUCUUAUUUCAAAAUAUUUGAACAGUGUUAUGGUUAGCUGAUGUUACCAAAUGAUUUGAUCCUGUCUGUAAAUAUAGAGUUGUUAACUGAAAACUUUUUGGAUUCAAAGGGAUUGCUCCGGUAUGGACUUGACCUGAAGCAGCAGGUAUGAUUCAGUAACCUGUUAGUUUUUGUUGAUCUGCAUGGUAACUUUGCAGUUUUCUUGUUAAUAGGCUGAAAAACUACCAGAAAUCAUGAAUGACUCAAUGUGCCCUGUGGAUACCAAGGAAGAAAUCUUGCGUGAAUGUGAGAAUAUUUGGAAGGAGAUGGAAAAGUGUCAGAGCAAGCUAACACUUCUAACAGCAGAACCAGUGCCACAAUCAGAUGCCAAGG